rnacentral:rRNA from 1 species
GACGAACGCUGGCGGCACGCCUAACACAUGCAAGUCGAACGGACUUAAAAGAGCUUGCUUUUUUCAGUUAGUGGCGGACGGGUGAGUAACACGUGAGCAACCUGCCUCUGAGAGGGGGAUAGCUUCUGGAAACGGAUGGUAAUACCCCAUAAAAUAUAAAUAUCGCAUGAUAGAUAUAUCAAAGAAAUUCGCUCAGAGAUGGGCUCGCGUCUGAUUAGAUAGUUGGUGAGGUAACGGCUCACCAAGUCGACGAUCAGUAGCCGGACUGAGAGGUUGAACGGCCACAUUGGGACUGAGACACGGCCCAGACUCCUACGGGAGGCAGCAGUGGGGAAUAUUGCACAAUGGAGGGAACUCUGACGCAGCGAUGCCGCGUGGAGGAAGAAGGUUUUCGGAUUGUAAACUCCUUUUAUCAGGGACGAUAAUGACGGUACCUGAAGAAAAAGCUCCGGCUAACUACGUG